GGAAGUGGUGUGUGAAUGUGUGUCGCUUAAUCGGCUGAGUCACAACUUGUAAACAAAGUCCGUGAAAAGUAUGUAGUUGGUGUUUUUAGGGCUGCCUAUCCGACAGUUUGUGCCUGGACAUUCUACAUAUCUUCUGUGAGGAGCUGAGAACAUUUCUACCCGAAGUGUGUUGAACAGUUUUUCAUGGCAUCUUUCCGAAGAGGAGAUUUGAGGAAGAAGCAGAAGGAGGAGGAGAAGGACGAGAGGCCCUGAGCUACUGACUACACCGUGAGCCACCCAGAUGAAACUCAAGAGUAUCCUGAUUGCUGACUGCUGGUUCGAGAGACUGCUUCAUACCGCCAAACUGACUUCACUGUUUGCUUAAGGCGAUAAUGGUCAGAAAUUCAGCGGGAGCGGGCAGGAGUGGGAUGAAGAAAACAGUCCCGGGCAGGGCUCUAACACAGAGCACAGACGGAGCGGGAGAGGCCUCAGUAAGCCAGCGGUAAUUUUGAAGUCAGGAAAACGAACAGGAAGACCGCCAAUCAACAAACUCUCAUUGUUAAAUAUUGGAGAGUGUGGGCCCCAAACAGAAGAGCAACCAACUAAUUUCUCCACCCUCCUCCAUACGGAUCUUUUACCAGUCCGUGGUAGCCAGCAUCCUCUUUUACACAGUGGUGUGCUGGGGGGGUGGGGGGGGGGGCUGGAUCCAGGCUGGACAAACUGAUCAGGCGGGCCGGCUCUGUGGUUGGCAUGAAGCUGGAUUCUCUGGUGAUGAUGGCAGAGAAGAGAACACUGGACAAACUGCUGGACAUGAUGGACAAUGCCAGUCACCCUCUGCACACCAUCAUCAGCAACCAGACUGUUCCUUCCCAAGUGCAGGACUAACAGACUGAAAAACUCCUUUGUCCCUCAGGCCAUCAGACUGUACAACUCCUCACUCGAGGGGAGGAGGAGUAGCAAGAAGACAGAGGACAGGAAGGAGCAGUAACUAGAAGCCAGUAGCCACUACAGUAAGGAAUAUAAUAAGGAAUUACUUAUUUAUUCUAUGUCUAUAUCAUAUCUGUAUCAUAUAUAUAUCAUCUAAAUCAUCAAUGUGUCUCUUAGACCCCAUCCCAACUAGGCUACUUAAGGAGGUCUGACCUUUAGUUAACGCUCAUAUAUUAGAUAUGAUCAAUAUCUCCUUAUUAACAGGCUAUGUACCACAGUCUUUUAAGGUAGCUGUAAUUAAACCUCUCCUAAAAAAGCCCACCCUGGAUCCAGAGGUGUUAGCCAACUAUAGACCAAUAUCUAAUCUUCCCUUUCUUUCAAAGAUCCUUGAGAAAGUAGUCACAGACCAGCUGUGUGAUUUUCUCCAUGACAAUAAUUUAUUUGAGGAAUUUCAGUCAGGAUUUAGAGUGCACCAGAGCACUAAGACAGCACUAGUUAAAAUUACAAAUGACCUUCUGAUUGCUUCAGACAAAGGACUCUUCUCUGUACUUGUUUUAUUAGAUCUUAGUGUAGCAUUUGACACAAUUGAUCAUCAAAUUCUGCUACAGAGACUGGAACACUUAAUUGGCCUAAAAGGUUCUGCACAAAGCUUGUUUAAAUCUUAUUUAUCUGAUCGUUUUCAGUUUGUUCAUGUUCAUAAUGAGUCAUCCUUACAUACUAAAGUUUGUUUUGGAGUUCCGCAAGGUUCUGUGCUCGGACCAAUCCUAUUUAUUCUAUAAAUGCUUCCUUUAGGUAACAUCAUUAGAAAUCGCUCUGUAAAUUUCCAUUGUUAUGCGGAUGAUACACAGUUGUAUUUAUCUAUGAAGCCAGAAGAAACUAAUCAAUUAACUAAACUUCAUAAUUGCCUUAAAGACAUAAAAACCUGGAUGAGCACCAAUUUCUUGAUGUUAAAUUCAGACAAAACUGAAGUUAUUGUUCUUGGCCCCAAACAACUCAGAGACUCUUUAUCUGAUGACAUAGUUUCUCUAAAUGUCAUUGCUCUGGCCUCUAGCACUACCGUGAGAAACAAACCUCACAGAUUUGUUACCUCUAGGCUGGAUUACUGUAACUCUCUAUUAUCAGGCAGCUCUAGUAAGUCCUUAAAAACUCUCCAGCUAAUUCAGAAUGCAGCAGCACGUGUACUAACAGGAACUAAGAAACAAGAUCAUAUUUCUCCUGUUUUAGCUUCUCUGCACUGGCUCCCUGUAAAACCCAGAAUUGAAUUUAAUAUCCUACUGUUACUGUAACUUAUAAAGCUCUAAAUGGUCAAGCUCCAUCAUAUCUUAGAGAGCUCAUAGUGCCAUAUUAUCCCACCAGAACUCUGCGCUCGGAGAAAGCAGGGUUACUCGUGGUCCCUUAAGUCUCCAAAAGUAGGUCAGGAGCCAGAGCCUUCAGCAAUCAGGCUCCUCUCCUGUGGAAUCAUCUUCCUGUUGCGGUCCGGGAGGCAGACACCGUCUCCACAUUUAAGACUAGACUCAAGACUUUCCUCUUUGAUAAAGCUCAUAGUUAGGGCUGGCUCAGGCUUGCCUUGUACCAGCCCCUAGUUAGGCUGACUUAGGCCUAGUCUGCUGGAGGAGCCCCUAUAAUACACCGGGCACCUUCUCUCCUUCUCUCUCUCUCUCUCUCUUUCUCUCUCUCUCUCGUGUCCUAUUACUGCAUCUUGCUAACUCGGCCAUUCUGGAUGUCACUAACCCUGACCCUUCUUCUCCGGAGCCUUUGUGCUCCACUGUCUCUCAGGUUAACUCGUAUUGCAGCGGUGCCUGGAUAGUGUGACGUGUGUCGUUGUGCUGCUGCCGUGGUCCUGCCAGAUGCCUCCUGCUGCUGCUGUUAUCAUUAGUCAUACUUCUACUGUUAUUAUACACAUAUGAUUAUUGUCACAUAUGUAUACUAUCAGAUAUUAAUAUAUACUUUCAACAUAUUGUACCACAGUAACCAGAACUAUAAUUAUAAUAUUAUUACUUUCAUUAAUGUUGUUGUAAGCUACUGUCAUUACCGUCUGUCCUGCAUCUCGCUCUCUCUCUGUCUCUCUCUCUCUGUCUCUCUCUCUCUGUCUCAUUGUGUCAUACGGAUUACUGUUAAUUUAUUAUGUUGAUCUGUUCUGUACGACAUCUAUUGCACGUCUGUCCGUCCUGGAAGAGGGAUCCCUCCUCAGUUGCUCUUCCUGAGGUUUCUACCAUUUUUUUUCCCCCGUUAAAGGGUUUUUUUGGGGAGUUUUUCCUUAUCCACUGUGAGGGUCCUAAGGACAGAGGGAUGUCGUAUGCUGUAAAGCCCUGUGAGGAAAGCUGUGAUUUGUGAUAUUGGGCUUUAUAAAUAAAAUUGAAAUUGAAAUUGAUAUUUAUGUUUUGCAUAUUGUUUUUACUUUUUACGUUUUGAUACCCUGUGUGCUCUUUACCCUGUGUGCUGUUAUCCAAUGCUGCUGGAAUCUUAAUUUCCCUGAGGGAGUCUUCCCAAGGGAUUAAUAAAGUUCUAUCUGAUCUAAUGUAAUCUAAUGUAAUCUAAUCUAAUCUAAUCUAAUCUAAUCUGCAAGCAGCUGUGACCAGGCCCUUGCUCUCCCGCACUAUUGCGGCAUGCAUCACUGAAGCGGUUAUGUGAAAACUCAGAGUAACUUAACCCUGACAUGGUGUGAUGUUUCAUCUUCGUACUCCAAGAAAAUCCCUAUGGGGAGGGUUUU